AUGAGAGAAGUCUCCUGCUUUAAAAAGCUUCUUGAAGACAUUGGCAUAGAAAAAGACUUCAUGAACAAAACCUCAGCAGCAUGGAAACUAGCAGAAAGCAUCAACAAUUGGGAUCUCAUCUUAUUAAAAAGCUUCUGCACUGCAAAAGAAACCAUCAACAGAGCUAACAGACAGCCUACAAUAUGGGAAAAAAUUUUUAGCAGCUGUACCUCAAAGGACUACUAUCUAGAAUANCCACAAAAUUGA
rnacentral:lncRNA from 1 species